CGCGACUUUCCUCGGAAAUUUAAAGUCAUCCACAAAGCGUUCUUCAGUAUUAAAGACACGGUCAAGUGAAAGGAACGCGAAGACGUCUCUCGUGGCGUCCUCCGGCGCGGCGUCUUCGAGCGCCUAGCAAUCACGCGAGACGCUCAUACAGACGAACCUUGGAGUUACAAUAGACAGAGGGAAUUCUCUUUCAUAAAUUUAGGGAUGAAUAUUUUUCACUUAUUUUGGGAAACUUUAUUACAUAUUUCAGAGCUGAAAGUCAAAGAUACAAGAGCUUCUCGUUGCCAACAUGUUGCAAAAGCAAAUCACAUGUGGUAACAACAUAGGGUAUUUCCAAAUCACAGUAGAAUCAUGAUUAUUGCAUAGGAGUCCCAUUCAUCUUACAGUGUUGACAAGUGGAGGGAGCUAAGCAACAAGUAUGGCUGGAAACGAUGAUACACUACGUAGAGCUACUAUCCAUUGGAUUGGUUGACUUGACUAUCGCAGAAAUUUUCAGGACUUCCGGCAAUAAGCGAGAUUCUAAUACAAUUGAAAAGUGCCACAAGUGGAGAUCAUUAUAAAAUUAAUCUGCGUAAACCGGGGUUCCUAUGGUUUUGCAGGCAGAUAGACCGAACAUCAAGGGACGGACUGACGAACAUAGAAGACCAUCGGCCAGCCUUGUUGCUGUUACGUGCCGACAAUUAAAUUUUUUUAUUUAUCUUGAUUUCAUAAUUCAUAAUUUUUCACGCGUGUGUGUGUGUGCUUUUCCCCCGUCCAAGACAUCCGACGACCAACAUCCAUGCGUUUCAAUACACCGAUAAAUCCGUACCGAAAAGCUUAGUGGUGAGUUGUUUCUUUCCAAGCGCAAUCUUUUCCAAAGUUGUGAUCAUCGUUGUAACUGAUGAAUGUUUCAUCAUUUCCGGGGGAACCCUAAUUAAUUAUCCCUGAUGAAUAGUAUGUAUCCCGACAAUAUGUAACAUAUAUAUAUUUACAACCACAAAGGAAUGAAAGAAAGAGCAGAACUUAACGCAGA